rnacentral:rRNA from 1 species
UACGUAGGGUGCAAGCGUUAAUCGGAAUUACUGGGCGUAAAGCGUGCGUAGACGGUUGUGUAAGUCAGAUGUGAAAGCCCCGGGCUCAACCUGGGAAUUGCAUUUGAGACUGCGCAGCUAGGGUGCGGAAGAGGGAAGCGGAAUUUCCGGUGUAGCGGUGAAAUGCGUAGAUAUCGGAAGGAACACCAGUGGCGAAAGCGGCUUCCUGGUCCAGCACCGACGUUCAGGCACGAAAGCGUGGGGAGCAAACAGG